AAAUUCUUAUCCAAUUUAUUUUUGCUUUCCUGACUUCAAGAUAAGAAGCUUUUAUUCACUUGCUGUUAAUGGUUGUUUGCAAAAUCAAAUAUCUAUGCAUCAAGGGUUUUGCUAUAUUUUGAAAUAUAGUAGAAAUUUUAGUUUAAUUUUCUAAUUUCAUUCUCUGGCCAAUCUUCUAUAAGGAGAAGUAAUCGUUGUAUCAUUUGAUGUGAUUCAUGUCUUCUUAAUUUCAAAGAAGUGACAUGUUAUUUUCUUUAUGUGGUCUUAUUUCACUGGAUACCGGGCCUUUUUCAUGGUACUGAAACAAAUAAUAUGAGUGAUGCAGGAAUGCAUUAUUUGGUGGUGCUCGCCCACGAGAACUGGUUCUGAAGGAGCGAGGUCUAGAUGAUGUUGGGAUCAACCAUGACUUGGUUCAACAAUCUGAUAGGCAGAUUGAACAUAAUGUUCCCGGGACUGAAAGAGUUCAUGGGCAUGCAAGUCCUGUACAUUACAGUGAAAAAACGGAGAAUCCUCUUGUUGAUCAAAGGACUGGAAAGAGAUUUGAGAGGAAAGAUCAGCGGCAAGACACCGAGAGAGUUGAUAUGCAGUGGAGGAACUGGCGUAAUGAGAGCAGGAGGAAUAACAGAGAGCCUGAGAAGCAGCAGCAGCAGGUGGAGAGGCCACCUUCACCAGAGACUUGGCGCAAACCUGUAGAGCAGCCGAAACCAGCCUCCCCUGACUCUGGUGGUCUGCGCUAUGGGAAAGCAGCUUCAGCCGUUGAGCUGGCCCAAGCAUACUCUAGAUCAGUCUCAGAUCCAAAGAUAGCGGAUCCCUUUUCAGUCCAAAGGGGCCUUCCUGGCCGGACCCAAAUGCCAUUUUCACGGCUGAUGGGUCCAACCCCAAGGCCUCAGAUUAAUGGUUACUGAAUAUUUGAGUGGUUUGGUUGGCAAUUGAUGAUCAUUGUGGUAAGAAGAAUGCGUGGUGAUAUGUGCAAGCUGUGAAAGGACUUAGCCGUUCACCAGUGAUGCUUCCUGCACCUGAUUCUUUUUUCAGUUUCCUCGAGAAAAUGAUUGUCAUACAAAAAUAAUUACAAUAUGUACCCCAUGGGUGCCAUAUUCUCAUUACAACUAGGCUUCUUAUUUUUACUACGUUUUGUUUCUUUCCUUUUUCUCCUUUGACAAACUGUAUUCCUCAUCUUUUUAGAGGAGAAAGGGUUCUGUUGCCUUUUUUAUUUGAGAGUUGAGGGCACUGUAGCAUGGGUUUACUAUUUGCAUUCAUUGUAUUCGUAGUAAUACCCUAUAUGGAUGACGGAUCUUCUAAACCAUGAAAUGGAGAGGAUCUUAUUCCCUAUGGACUAAUGAUUCGGCCUUAUCAUUCGAUGAGAUCAUUUUUUGGUUUUUUGUUUU